AUUGAACGCUGGCGGCAUGCUUUACACAUGCAAGUCGAACGGUAACAGGCCUUCGGGUGCUGACGAGUGGCGAACGGGUGAGUAAUGUAUCGGAACGUGCCCAGUAGUGGGGGAUAGCCCGGCGAAAGCCGGAUUAAUACCGCAUGAGAACUGAGGUUGAAAGCGGGGGACCUUCGGGCCUCGCGCUACUGGAGCGGCUGAUAUCAGAUUAGGUAGUUGGUGGGGUAAAGGCUCACCAAGCCUGCGAUCUGUAGCUGGUCUGAGAGGACGACCAGCCACACUGGGACUGAGACACGGCCCAGACUCCUACGGGAGGCAGCAGUGGGGAAUAUUGGACAAUGGGGGCAACCCUGAUCCAGCCAUGCCGCGUGUGUGAAGAAGGCCUUCGGGUUGUAAAGCACUUUAAGUCGGGGAGGGAAGGCCGUGAUGGCUAAUAUCCAUCGGGAGUUGACGUUACCCGCAGAAUAAGCACCGGCGAAACUUCGUGCCAGCAGCCG
rnacentral:rRNA from 1 species